GACGAACGCUGGCGGCGUGCUUAACACAUGCAAGUCGAACGGGCCUUGUCCCCUUUUUUUUUGGGGGUGGGGUUAGUGGCGAACGGGUGAGUAACACGUGAGUAACCUGCCCCUCACUUCUGGAUAACCGCUUGAAAGGGUGGCUAAUACGGGGUGUUCUGGCCUGCUCGCAUGGGUGGGUUUGGAAAGAUUCGACCGGUUUUGGUUGUUUUGGUGGGGGAUGGGCUCGCGGCCUAUCAGCUUGUUGGUGGGGUGUUGGCCUGCCAAGGCUUUGACGGGUAGCCGGCCUGAGAGGGUGGGCGGUCACACUGGGACUGAGACACGGCCCAGACUCCUACGGGAGGCAGCAGUGGGGAAUAUUGCACAAUGGGCGCAAGCCUGAUGCAGCGACGCCGCGUGAGGGAUGGAGGCCUUCGGGUUGUGAACCUCUUUCGCCAGUGAAGAAGGUCCUGCUCUUUGUGGUGGGGUUGACGGUAGCUGGGUUAAUGAAGCGCCGGCUAACUACGUG
rnacentral:rRNA from 1 species